rnacentral:rRNA from 1 species
UACAGAGGUCUCAAGCGUUGUUCGGAUUCAUUGGGCGUAAAGGGUGCGUAGGUGGCGGGGUAAGUCAGGUGUGAAAUCUCGGAGCUCAACUCCGAAACUGCACUUGAUACUGCCUUGCUCGAGUACUGGAGAGGAGAUUGGAAUUUACGGUGUAGCAGUGAAAUGCGUAGAUAUCGUAAGGAAGACCAGUGGCGAAGGCGAAUCUCUGGACAGUUACUGACACUGAGGCACGAAGGCCAGGGGAGCAAGCAGG